rnacentral:rRNA from 1 species
UUGGAGGGCAAGUCUGGUGCCAGCAGCCGCGGUAAUUCCAGCUCCAAUAGCGUAUAUUAAAGUUGUUGCAGUUAAAAAGCUCGUAGUUGAAUUUCGGGAUCAAUGGAUUGGACAUGCCGUUGGUAUGUACUGAUUUUAUUGAUUCUCACCUUCUAAAGAAUCAUAAUGCCAUUAAUUUGGUGUUGUGAGGAAUUAGGACUGUUACCUUGAAAAAAUUAGAGUGUUUAAAGCAGGCUUACGCUUGAAUACAUUAGCAUGGAAUAACGAAAUAGGACAUCGCAUUCUAUUUUGUUGGUUUCUAGGAUCGAUGUAAUGAUUAAUAGGGAUAGUUGGGGGCAUUAGUAUUCAAUUGUCAGAGGUGAAAUUCUUGGAUUUAUUGAAGACUAACUACUGCGAAAGCAUUUGCCAAGGAUGUUUUCAUUAAUCAAGAACGAAAGUUAGGGGAUCGAAGACGAUCAGAUACCGUCGUAGUCUUAACCAUAAACUAUGCCGACUAGGGAUCGGAUGAUGUUAAUUUUUUAAUGACUCAUUCGGCACCUUACGGGAAAC